UACGAAGGGGGCUAGCGUUGCUCGGAUUGACUGGGCGUAAAGGGCGCGUAGGCGGUUCGUACAGUCAGACGUGAAAUUCCUGGGCUCAACCUGGGGGCUGCGUUUGAUACGUGCGGGCUUGAGUUCGGAAGAGGGUCGUGGAAUUCCCAGUGUAGAGGUGAAAUUCGUAGAUAUCGAGAGGAACAUCGGUGGCGAAGGCGGCCUUCUGGACAGUGACUGACGCUGAGACGCGAAAGCGUGGGGAGCAAACAGG
rnacentral:rRNA from 1 species